rnacentral:rRNA from 1 species
UACAGAGGGGGCAAGCGUUAUUCGGAAUUAUUGGGCGUAAAGGGCGCGUAGGCGGCCUGGCAAGUGGAAGGUGAAAUCCCUCGGCUUAACCGAGGAACUGCCUCCCAAACUGCUUGGCUUGAGACCGGGAGAGGUGAGUGGAAUUCCCAGUGUAGCGGUGAAAUGCGUAGAUAUCAGGAGGAACACCUGCGGUGUAGACGGCUUACUGGACGGUAACUGACGCUGAGGCACGAAAGCGUGGGUAGCAAACAGG